AGGGCGCAGGGCCGCCGCCACAUCCCAGGGACUGGCUCUGCAGGUAGGCAGGGUCACCCCCAAGAGAGAAGGACGCGGGCUCUUCUGAGACACCCUUGUGCUCUCACGCAGUCCCCCUCCCAACUCCACACCGUGCAGCACCGUCAACCCUUCCAGCUCAGUGAAGGCGAAGAAAAAAGCAGAACAGAAACCGAGUGGCCUGGUCUCCAGCAUCUUCAUCCACAAACGGCCAGCCCCCGGCAUGGGCUUCACUGUUCCCUUGACUUCUAAAAGAGAAAACUAAAAGCGAACUCCGUGUGUAGGCCUCAGUGGAUUUCCUGAAGAGCCUCUGCUGCUCUUGGGCUCCUCCACCCCUCUGCUCUUUGUUUCUGGCUUCCCUCCUCCAUACAUUUCAGAGCUCCUUGAACAAAAGGCUGCUUGCUUAGGGGCCUCUUUUCUUUUUCCUUUAUCAGAAUGAUUUAUGAUUUUAUAACCAGAAUUACAUUUUUUAUUUUUUUUUAGAGGCGGAGUCUCACUCCGUCACCCAGGCUGGAAUGCAGUUGGCACGAUCUUGGUUCACUGCAACCUCUGCCUCUGGGGUU
rnacentral:lncRNA from 1 species